rnacentral:rRNA from 1 species
UACAGACGGUCCAAACGUUAUUCGGAAUCACUGGGCUUAAAGAGUUCGUAGGCGGUCAGGAAAGUGGGGUGUGAAAGCCCCCGGCUUAACCGGGGAGAGUCGUUGGGGACGGCGGGGCUUGAGGGCGGGAGAGGGUGGUGGAAUUCCCGGUGUAGUGGUGAAAUGCGUAGAGAUCGGGAGGAACACCCGUGGCGAAGGCGGCCACCUGGGCCGACCCUGACGCUGAGGCGCGAAGGCGUGGGGAGCGAACGGG